rnacentral:rRNA from 1 species
UACAGAGGUCUCAAGCGUUGUUCGGAUUCAUUGGGCGUAAAGGGUGCGUAGGCGGCGCGGUAAGUCGGGUGUGAAAUCUCGGGGCUUAACUCCGAAACUGCAUUCGAUACUGCCGUGCUUGAGGACUGGAGAGGAGACUGGAAUUUACGGUGUAGCGGUGAAAUGCGCAGAUAUCGGGAGGAACACCAGUGGCGAAGGCGGUACUCUGGGCCGGAACUGACGCUGAGGAGCGAAAGCGUGGGUAGCGAACAGG